AUUGAACGCUGGCGGCAUGCCUUACACAUGCAAGUCGAACGGCAGCACGGGUGCUUGCACCUGGUGGCGAGUGGCGAAAGGGUGAGUAAUACAUCGGAACAUGUCCUGUAGUGGGGGAUAGCCCGGCGAAAGCCGGAUUAAUACCGCAUACGAUCUACGGAUGAAAGCGGGGGACCUUCGGGCCUCGCGCUAUAGGGUUGGCCGAUGGCUGAUUAGCUAGUUGGUGGGGUAAAGGCCUACCAAGGCGACGAUCAGUAGCUGGUCUGAGAGGACGACCAGCCACACUGGGACUGAGACACGGCCCAGACUCCUACGGGAGGCAGCAGUGGGGAAUUUUGGACAAUGGGCGAAAGCCUGAUCCAGCAAUGCCGCGUGUGUGAAGAAGGCCUUCGGGUUGUAAAGCACUUUUGUCCGGAAAGAAAUCCUUGGCCCUAAUACGGUCGGGGGAUGACGGUACCGGAAGAAUAAGCACCGGCUAACUACGUG
rnacentral:rRNA from 1 species